rnacentral:rRNA from 1 species
GUGAGGAAUAUUGGACAAUGGGCACAAGCCUGAUCCAGCCAUGCCGCGUGCAGGAAGACGCAUCUAUGGUGUGUAAACUGCUUUUGUACGGGAAGAAACACUCCCUCGUGAGGGAGCUUGACGGUACCGUAAGAAUAAGGAUCGGCUAACUCCGUGCCAGCAGCCGCGGUAAUACGGAGGAUCCAAGCGUUAUCCGGAAUCAUUGGGUUUAAAGGGUCCGUAGGCGGUUUAAUAAGUCAGUGGUGAAAGCCCAUCGCUCAACGAUGGAACGGCCAUUGAUACUGUUAGACUUGAAUUACAAGGAAGUAACUAGAAUAUGUAGUGUAGCGGUGAAAUGCUUAGAUAUUACAUGGAAUACCAAUUGCGAAGGCAGGUUACUACUUGUGGAUUGACGCUGAUGGACGAAAGCGUGGGGAGCGAACAGGAUUAGAAACCCCGGUAGUCC